CAGCAGAGAACAAAAGAACGAUUCCUUAUGCCAACACCUACGUGUUUUCUGUGUUGUCUUCUUAGGCGUGCUAUUAGGGCAGUCAAGGAAGAUAAAGGAAGACUGGUAGUUACUACAUGCCAGAGAAGGGCUGUAAAGAUUCUUUAAAAAUGAUAAAACAGAUAAUCUGCCAGAUUUCUGUGCUUUGGUUGUUGGGAGCUAAAGAAAUCCUUCAUGCACAUCAUCAUCCUGCAACAUGCUCUUGCAGACGUUUAGCAGUUGCAAUGGUAGCAGCUGAAGAAAAAAUAAAAAUAGAUUCUGUAGCACAUUUUAAAAACUUUCAGGUUUAUUUUAGAUCUAUGACUGUACUGUAAUAUUUGUAACAUCAAUGUAUUCUCUGUUUUGUUUUGCAAGGUACCCUAACUCUAGUACAGGUGCUCUCAUAAUUCUGUACACUGGCAGGUAAGCAGACACAAGGUGUUAAGAAUCUGAUUAUGUGUUUUAUAUCAUUAUUUUCAGACUGCUUCAUAGCAGCUGACUGCUAGGCUGCUGGAGUAGUAUGGUUUAUUCCUCUGCUUCAUAGGAAGGGUUCCUGACUUCAUGAAUCUUCACAAUAGUAAGAAAUACAGUUUGGGGGAGUUGGACAUUAUGUGUCUUUGAUGACAAAGUUCUUGACAUAUUUGGGGGCUACAACUUGCAAUGCUGAAAGUUGAUAUAUAUGUUUAUAUUCUAUAUACAUAUGUAUUUGUAUGUACGUAUUUGCAGGUGGAAUUGAAAUGAUAAAACUUGGAAAUUUUGUUUUUUGCAUAUAUUCUUUGCGUAUUAUUUACAGAGUUAAUAGUAUGGGGAUUUUUGUUGUUGUUGCUGUUUGUUACUGUUUUGGUGAAUCACCAAACCAAGAAAAUAAUCUGGACGCUUCUUAAUUUUUUUUUUCUCCUUUGAAAUUAAUUACUUUUUAUUCAUUUCCUUGUCUUGCUAUCCCUGACCAGCCCUCUUGAAUGAAAGGAAAAGGUAGAAUAGAACAUUAAUUGGAUGUUUAGUCACCUCAGCAAGUGGAUCUGAUGAUAAUGAGUGCUCCUGAAAUAAGCUUUGGUCUGAGGUAUAAUCUCAUAGCCAUGAUAUUUAGUAUACUCCCUGUACUAUACAAUGCCUUCAGGUGAUGUAAGUGCUCAACAAUAAGUCUGUCUCCCUAGACCCUUUCCAGUUCCAGUGUGGGACAGGUUAAAGCUGAAUUGAAACUGGUCUUACUAAUAGCAGGGUGUUGUAGUUUUGAUUGGCCUAGAAAAGAUAAAGAAACAACUGUUAUUCUGG
rnacentral:lncRNA from 1 species